AUCCAGCUGACGAGUCGCAUAUAGGACAGCUGAAAUGCACAUCCUGGAU
rnacentral:hammerhead_ribozyme from 1 species